rnacentral:rRNA from 1 species
GCAAGUCGACGGCAGCACGGGCUUCGGCCUGGUGGCGAGUGGCGAACGGGUGAGUAAUACAUCGGAACGUACCCAGAAGUGGGGGAUAACGCAGCGAAAGUUGCGCUAAUACCGCAUACGUUCUACGGAAGAAAGUGGGGGAUCUUCGGACCUCAUGCUUUUGGAGCGGCCGAUGUCUGAUUAGCUAGUAGGUAGGGUAAAGGCCUACCUAGGCGACGAUCAGUAGCUGGUCUGAGAGGACGACCAGCCACACUGGAACUGAGACACGGUCCAGACUCCUACGGGAGGCAGCAGUGGGGGAUUUUGGACAAUGGGCGCAAGCCUGAUCCAGCAAUGCCGCGUGAGUGAAGAAGGCCUUCGGGUUGUAAAGCUCUUUUGUCAGGGAAGAAACGGCUCCGGCUAAUAUCUGGAGCUAAUGACGGUACCUGAAGAAUAAGCACCGGCUAACUACGUGCCAGCAGCCGCGGUAAUACGUAGGGUGCAAGCGUUAAUCGGAAUUACUGGGCGUAAAGCGUGCGCAGGCGGUUUUGUAAGUCUGUCGUGAAAGCCCCGGGCUCAACCUGGGAAUUGCGAUGGAGACUGCAAGGCUUGAAUCUGGCAGAGGGGGGUAGAAUUCCACGUGUAGCAGUGAAAUGCGUAGAGAUGUGGAGGAACACCGAUGGCGAAGGCAGCCCCCUGGGUCAAGAUUGACGCUCAUGCACGAAAGCGUGGGGAGCAAACAGGAUUAGAUACCCUGGUAGUCCACGCCCUAAACGAUGUCUACUAGUUGUCGGGUUUUAAUUAACUUGGUAACGCAGCUAACGCGUGAAGUAGACCGCCUGGGGAGUACG